UAAGAAAUCAACUGAUUCCUUUUCCUGCAUGGAGAUGUUUUACCCCAGGAUGCCAGCUAAACACGGAAAGGACCAAAUGAUGGGAUGGAUGUGGGCAACGGCUCAAUAGAAUGGUACAGCUUAAGAAAGGGUUUUCUAUCUCAACUUCAUAAUUCUGACAUCAAGCAUCUUCACAUCUCAGACACCUCCUUGAUCCCAGCUUCAUCAGAUCAAGAUCUACAAGUCUUGAAGCCUGCAUAUUCCUUUUUUUGCCAUCCCAAUGACUGGAGAGCGAGGGAUUUAAUGAACAAGGUUAUUUAGAUUCUGGCAGCAUACAUAGCAAGAACGUGAAACUUCAGUUCACCUUACACAGCUUGCUCAGUUAUAAGCCAUGUGGAGCAGAAUAUUUCUUAACACUUGUGCCUGACACAGAGACAAAGACCACCAACGUCUCCUCCAUGAGCUUAUCAGCAUUAGUGCAAUACAAAGAGUGGAUCCUUGAAAAGCUGAAUAAACUGUGUUGCUUAUAUCCUUUCUAAAAGUAAGCAAACACUGCUGACUGGAAAAUGGGAAAGGAGGGGAAACAAUUGUUGUUUUGAAUCUGAAUUAAUGGCAACCUUACGAUAAACUGAUAUACUUGAGGGUUAAAAAUCAUAGAGUACAGUUGCGCUACUAAAUUUGAGUACAAGCGUACAUGUAUCAUUCAAUAUAAAAGUUCAAUUGUCAAAGUUAAUCAUCUGCCAAGCUGAAUAGGACAGGAAAAAAACAAACCUAUCUUUUAAAGAAAGCAAGAAAAUUACACAGUGUUGAAGGGACCAUCUAUAACAGGCAUCCAGCUCUUACUUCUCCACCCUCCACAGCUGCAUAAAAAAUGGGGGGGAUCGGGAAAAUUUUACACUAAGAAUUAAUCUGUACCACAUCUCCUUCCUUCUUCUGUCAAAGUUUACCAUUUCUGAAGCUUAACUUUGCCUUGGUGGGGCUUCUCUAAUGAAAAAAGUUCAACUAAAGUUACGGCAGUUUAAAUCUGGUUUUGUGCAAAAUCCUGUAAAAACAAUACGCUUGGAGGGAAGUUUAAACUCGCUUAUUUAAAAGAAAUAAAAUAUAAGCUAAUUUUAGAAAGGCACUCAAACUGAACUAAGUGUCUACAUACAGGGCAUUUAGCUAGCUAAAUUUUUAAUGGAUGCUUGUAUAAACAACUACCAACUCACAAAUCAAUGCAUCCAGAUUUACACUAAAUUAUCUUACUUAUUUAUGCACAAGAGCUAAGGUCAACAUCUAAGAGCCUUCUCAGUCUCUCCAAAGACAGCCAUCUCCUCCUCUUGUCCCCAUGGCUCAGAUUUUGCAUAACACCUCUGCAGAUCUUAACAUUAAUCUGCCACCAUAGGACCUUGUCAACUUUUGUCUGGCUGAACACUGAUGCAGUUUGCUUAGCAUAAGGUUAAGCACAAGCAGGAUGGGGAGCAGGAACAGGAGGCAGGAUGAAAAGGGAGCAAGUCAUGAGUCAGCCGGACCUAUGAGACAUCAUCCUCUCAGGCAUUUAUUGCACAAAAAGCAAAACACCGACCUCUAAAUGUAUGUAGCAUGAGUCCAACUAGUUUCAAGUCUCUCCCCCAGAGAAAGCAGGUUUAGUCCUUCACUAAAUACUAGUAACCUCCUAGCAAUUCCUACACUACAUAUUUUUAUAAUCUGGCU